rnacentral:lncRNA from 1 species
ACUCUUGGUAAGGCACCGACUAAGCGUACUUGUGAAAAGAAUCAUGGUAAUCAGUCGUGUCAUCAGGUCACUCGAUCAUGUUUCAAGUGUGAUAGCCAACAACAUUUGAUCCGUAACUACCCACUUAUGAAAGAACAAUCAAAAGCUCAAAGAUGGGGACGAGUGUAUACCCAUACGGCAUCAGAUGCUGAAGUAAACCCAGACGUGGUUCAAGGUAUAUAUCUUGUCUCAAAGAACCUAGCUAAGGUAUUAGUAGAUCCUAGUUCCACACACUCAUUCGUGUGUCACACUUUUGCACUACGAUUAAGUGUCACACUUGUUUAUUCGGGGCAUAUCUUGAUGAUAUCCACACCAACC